UUUCCCUUCCCAGGGAGGAAAACCUCCAGCAACAGUCUCUGGAAGUAGUGCUGGCAAUUUGGUAUUCACAGGUGCUCUUGCUUCUUCUGAGAGCAUGGGGAAAAUGCUGUGAGCCUCAGUGAAUGAAUGCCUGCAGCUGAUGGGCCCUGCCUGGAUCUCACCCUGCUGCAGCACCAAGCCAGCACAUGGAUGUGCUAAGAGUUAGGAGCCACUUCCAGAGAGAGAAGCUGGCGCCCAGUGACAACAGGAAGAAUUAUUGCAUCGUGAGCAUCCUCUUUGCCUUGUCUAGUAAGCUCAGAAGAAAAGUUUGAAUUCUCCCUCGGUGUCAUCAACAGCCUGGUUGUGUUUAUGUUGCUCUCCUGGAAGCAACCACCUGCUGAUUUAUUCCUCGCCUUUCUCAAGGCUGAAUUACCCCUGACAGGUGCUGCAGGACGGAUGGAAACUCGUGGUACAAGAUAUACUGCAUACAAAGCCUUAAGCUGUGCAAGUGGAGAGUUGCAUGAACUUAAAUGGAGUCUUAAGUGUCUUGAAUCAAAAAGUUUUCCCAUGGUAGUUUAAUUACUUCUUUGUUUCUUCCUACACUUUUGCUGUGCUACCUUCAAGCCCAUUUGAGGUUGGAUCAGAAAUACACUUCAGACCUGUGCUGGCAGGGAAGAGGUGAACAGCCACUGACCCACAACAAUGCCUCUUGACCUUGGCUCAUCUAUCUUUAUUUAUCUGUCUGUUCUGUGUGUUCACUGUAGCCAGAGCUGUGAGCUCAGCUCCAGAGAGCUCACUGAAUUCUCUCAGAGUGGUGCUUCUCUCUGUGGAAAAAGGCAAAUGGGAUGUCACCAGGGAGAUGCUGUUAGAUGGAGAGGGGGAGGGGGAGAUGGAAAAAUAAGGUUGACGCGAAGAGGAGUAGACAGGAGCUUAGGGACAUGGCACAACAACAAAAUACCUCAGUCUGUGGCAUGGUUCCAUUUCUCUCUUAUAAAUCUUGCAGUGCAGACACAAUUCUCAGUAGCAUCAUCUUGCCUCUAGAUAACAGGAGCACCUGCACCAUCUGUCAGCCUGGUCCUGUCUGAGGCAGGAGGUCCCUGUGCUGUUUGCUGGUACCUCGGCUGUACAUUCAUCUCAAACCACUGCACAAUCAGUGCUUUUCCCCUGCUGCUUUUGACAGAACUGGAAAGGUUUGAUUCACUUCUCUGCUCAGGAUCUCUCAAAGGUUGGAUUUGAAAAUGAGAGGAGAACUGGCAUGGGUGGAAUUACUGCUGCUGAAUUAAAGUUUCUCUCUUUAGCCCUCUCACUUACAAAACACUGUCAGUGCCAUAAGGCAGCAUUGCUGUGGCUCUUUGCCCCAGGCUGUGCUGCUGCCUCAGACUCGCAGGGUGAGGGCUGUGAGGUGAUGCCAAGGGCUGCCUUCCACCCUUCUCCACACUGUGAGUGCCUGCAGGCCUUUCUGCAGGGUGGGAGCCACCAGGACUAUUCAUGCUUCCUCCUGUCCUUGGUAGCAAAGGAUUACCUGCAAUGAAAGUGGGAUUCUUCCCACUGCAAGCAAUGUGGCUCCUGAGUAGUGCUUUGCUGUUUAACCAGAGAGAUGGAUUUUGCAAAUAAGCUGGAGGAGGAAGUAGUGGCACUUUAUGCUUAUGUUUUUGUGAUUUGUUUUUUGUUGUUUUCCUUUAACAAAACCAAGCUUCUUUUUAUAUGUCAGUCAUUUUUAUUGUACUGUCAUUUUGUUUGUUGUCACAUCUGUCUCAUUUUGCUGCUUAUUAGACACACAUUAGAUAUUCAAAAUCAAUCACUGGCAUUCUUGAGAUUUCAUAGCAACAAAUUGUACUACAGAGAGAGAAAGAGGGAGCAGCAAUGUUGUGCAGGAAUAAUGUCAGUAAUGCCAGGUAUUUCUGUGAGAUGGCAACUAUUUUCUUUGUAGUUGUCAUUCUCCCGCAAACAAGGAAGGCGUGCUCAGACUUCAUCUCAAACAGCACUUGGUAGGGGUGAGUGAAUGUUUGUGUUAACUGUUCUAUGUUGCCUCUUGACCUCUGGGGAGGGAGAUUGUCCCACCUCAGAAGCCUUGCUAAAAGCUUCUAUGAUUUGGACUGAGAGGAUGCUUUCUGUGUGGUCUGUUUCUUAGACUGGCACUUAGAAAUUUGGUGAGCCCAGAAAGGGAUCAGGCUUAGUCAGGACUGGAUGAUGAGCAAUUAAUAGUUAGAAUAAACAAACAAACAAAACAAAACAAAAACCCAAACAAUAUGCCACAGAUAGAAUAUUCUAAAUAACACAAGAUUUUUCUGUAUCUGGUAUAUCAAUACUUUAGUUCCUCAAGCCAGCUCUGAGGUCACAGAUCAGUGAAGGACAAAGAGAUGAUCUGUUUUAUGCUCCUGCUUGCCUGGAAUACUUGUUAUUUCCUAAAGCUUAGAGAGGGUCUUUUCUCAGGUAGUACAGCUCCUCUAGAGUAGUCUAAUUUUAGUCAGAC